rnacentral:rRNA from 1 species
AGAGUUUGAUUCUGGCUCAGAACGAACGCUGGCGGCGUGGAUAAGACAUGCAAGUCGAACGAGAGAAUUGCUAGCUUGCUAAUAAUUCUCUAGUGGCGCACGGGUGAGUAACACGUGAGUAACCUGCCCCCAAGAGUGGGAUAGCCCCGGGAAACUGGGAUUAAUACCGCAUAAAAUCGCAAGAUUAAAGCAGCAAUGCGCUUGGGGAUGGGCUCGCGUCCUAUUAGUUAGUUGGUGAGGUAACGGCUCACCAAGGCGAUGACGGGUAGCCGGUCUGAGAGGAUGUCCGGCCACACUGGAACUGAGACACGGUCCAGACACCUACGGGUGGCAGCAGUCGAGAAUCAUUCACAAUGGGGGAAACCCUGAUGGUGCGACGCCGCGUGGGGGAAUGAAGGUCUUCGGAUUGUAAACCCCUGUCAUGUGGGAGCAAAUUAAAAAGAUAGUACCACAAGAGGAAGAGACGGCUAACUCUAUGCCAGCAGCCGCGGUAAUACAGAGGUCUCAAGCGUUGUUCGGAAUCACUGGGCGUAAAGCGUGCGUAGGCGGUUUCGUAAGUCGUGUGUGAAAGGCGGGGGCUCAACCCCCGGACUGCACAUGAUACUGCGAGACUAGAGUAAUGGAGGGGGAACCGGAAUUCUCGGUGUAGCAGUGAAAUGCGUAGAUAUCGAGAGGAACACUCGUGGCGAAGGCGGGUUCCUGGACAUUAACUGACGCUGAGGCACGAAGGCCAGGGGAGCGAAAGGGAUUAGAUACCCCUGUAGUCCUGGCAGUAAACGGUGCACGAUGGGUGUGCGGGGAAUCGACCCCCUGCGUGCCGGAGCUAACGCGUUAAGCG